ACCUGGCUGGCUCAGUCAGUAGAGCAUGCGACUCUUGAUCUUGGGAUUGUGAGUUCAAGCCCCAUGUCAGGUA
rnacentral:tRNA from 1 species